CAGCCGCCGCGGGAAAACGUAGGUGGCAAGCGUUGUCCGGAAUUAUUGGGCGUAAAGGGCUCGCAGGUGGUUUCUUAAGACUGAUGUGAAAGCCCCCGGCUCAACCGGGGAGGGUCAUUGGAAACUGGGAAACUUGAGUGCAGAAGAGGAGAGUGGAAUUCCACGUGUAGCGGUGAAAUGCGUAGAGAUGUGGAGGAACACCAGUGGCGAAGGCGACUCUCUGGUCUGUAACUGACGCUGAGGAGCGAAAGCGUGGGGAGCGAACAGGAUUAGAUACCCCUGUAGUCCCUGUCUCUUAUAA
rnacentral:rRNA from 1 species